UACGUAGGGUGCAAGCGUUAAUCGGAAUUACUGGGCGUAAAGCGUGCGCAGGCGGUGAUGUAAGACAGGGGUGAAAUCCCCGGGCUUAACCUGGGAACUGCAUUUGUGACUGCAUCGCUGGAGUGCGGCAGAGGGGGAUGGAAUUCCGCGUGUAGCAGUGAAAUGCGUAGAGAUGUGGAGGAACACCGAUGGCGAAGGCAGCCUCCUGGGAUAACACUGACGCUCAGGCACGAAAGCGUGGGGAGCAAACAGG
rnacentral:rRNA from 1 species